AAAACUUAAUAUGCUAAAUUAGUUUAAUUUUUUAUAUUAGUAUUUGUUAUUUAUUAGGUUGUAUUAAUAAUAUUUUAUGUAUUGGACUAUUAUUCUAUUAUGUAUUAAAUAAUUUUUCUUAAUUAAAAAAAUAUUUUAUGAUUAAUGAAAAAGCCUAGGCCUGGCCUAAGCCCAGGCCAUUUUUGGACAUGCUUUUGAAGGGCAAAGCCCAAACUCACAAAUUGCCAACCCUACAUUCUUUUCCUUAAUUUUUAUUUACUUUUAUAAUAAUACCAUUUGCAACA
rnacentral:lncRNA from 1 species